GUGGGCAGCCAGGGCAGGGCCAGCUGCGCAGGGGCGGCCGGGUGGACUCAAGUCUUCCAUGGGCUCCUUGUGGCGAAUGAAGUGGUUGAGGACCCUGCUUUUCGUCUUAAACUCACAUGUCAAGCAUGAAACCCCUCAGCCAGAGGGCUUUGGUCAAUCUGAUGCUGACCUCGGUGCCUAGUGGGCAAUAUUCUCAGGUUCAUACGGGAGACGGUUGCCACAAGAGGCCGGGACCAGUCCUCACACAGAGGAGGCGGAGGCUGGAGAACUCGGAUGCCACAGCAGCAUGUGCUGGCCUGGCUCCACCGCGACUCGCAGACUCAGGGCCUCCUCUCAGAGGCGUCCCUCCUGCUUCUGACGGUCGCAGGAGCUGUGGGCCUGGCCGGAUCUGGGAGCUGCCUAGGAGGGAGGGUGGCUUUAGUUCCCAAUCCUCUCUCUUUCUAAUCUCUGGCUCUGCCCUCAGGCAACAUCUCUGCUUCCUUCUAGACAAGAGGUACUCAGCAUCUGCCCUGUUUCCAGCUCCUGCUUCUUUCACAAGGUUUCUUUUUUCUUUUUCCUCAGAGAUAAGAAAGAGCAGGAGAGAGAUAGAGAUAGGUAGGUAGGUAGAGACUGAAGGCAAGACUCAUUCCAUGGUUUCCCCGGGGAUCCGAUAACAAACAUUCAACCAAGUAAAAUAUAGAUCAAAUUGGCUUUAUUCGGUGAUUCAUGAAUUGGGCAGCAUCCCAUCUAGCAAGUAGGAAGGAACUUCAGUGAGCUGUAGAAAAAGAAAGUUUAUAAAGUCGGAAAGGAGAUGGAAAACGGAAACUAUUAGCAAAAAAUGCAUUGCUUCAGGCAAGGCUGCUCUGCUAAGGGGAUGACCUGACAGUGCUGGCCAGAUACUCCACUUUAAAGUCAAUUCCUGGGGAAGAUUGGAACUGUAGUUAAGUGAGGUAUUACGUCUUGGUUUGCUGAUGCAGGGCUGAGCACGAGUGACUCUGUUUUCGCCUGUUGCCUCCUUUUUAACAAGUCACAUUUUUUCUUACGCCGGGUCUACGAUCUACAUCAGACAGAGCUGAGGAUUACAGAAUGAGGAUUCAUGGGCCGUGCACUAGUACUUCCAGAACUGAGAACUCGGGCUGGGCUUGGGCCCAGGAUUCUGCAUUUCCAACUUCUUCUAUGGUGGUCACGCUGGCAGGAGCUUGAGAAAGGGGCUCUUCUAGAGACAGCCUGCCUGGGAACAGUGCUGAGUCACUAUAUGGGCGACCUUGACAAACCACCCAACUUUCCCGUCAAAGAGAGAGAACACUGUUUCGCAGUUUGGGAACGAUUAUGUGAGAAAACGGUUAGGGUCACUGAAGGAGGAACAUACGAGGCCACGAGUGGUAAGGAAAUGCAAAUUUAUUAGGUCAUCCGGAAACCUGAUGGGCUGAGCCCACAAAUGGCACCAGCAUGCAGGGAUGGGGAGUCAGAGAUUGUGAAGUACUCUAGGCGGGCUUUUUCCAUGGGGAAUUCUUUGGACGGGUCUGGAUCCCGGGCAAGUCCAGAGGAGAAAGUUGCUGUCUGUGGAAUGUGGUCUAAGGGAAAGGGAAUGCCAAUUGUGAAUUGAUCUAAAGGUAUGCAAGCUUGGCUACCCACUCAUCGUCGGAGAAGAGUUCUUGUAAUUUCGGAUUAUUUGGCCGCUGGAAAAAUAUUUUGACGUCUUCGUGCAGGACAGACGGUCGGGUUAGUGUCUUGCCCCUCGACAGCCACCUCGCCUCAGUGUGCAGAGGAAGGAGAUAACUAUGAAGUGCUUCAGAAAUCCCAGAGCUAGUUGUUCCACCGGCAAGCUGAGCCAACAAAGCAGUUCUUCCUGCAGCUCUCCGCACAAAACGAAGGAAAAGGCCCUUGUUACCUACGUCAGUUGAUUCAUCAAGUUGAAUGGAAUAAAAUGGUGAAUUUUCCCCAUUUUUGUAACUUGAUUUUCAAUAUCUUCAGCCAUGUCUUCAAUUCUGCGUUGGACAGUGUUAGCGGGCAUAGGAAUUGCUUGCGGUUUCUGGACAGCCUGCCUCCCCAACCUCUUCCCAGGCUUGUACCAGGCAAGGCUGAAUGAAUUCUUCUCCAGUCGCAUAGGGCUGUUUAUUUUUCGCAAUCUGAAGUGCUAUCAGAUGAGAAGCCUUUAAUAAAGAUUUAGCUCCAACAGUCAUUUUUGUUAGAGCAAUUACUUGCUUUUGCAUAUUUUCACACAUUCUUUGAAAAUAUUCAAGUGGUUUUUAGGCUAAAUCCGGGUGUUUUGAUUGCAAGUGUCUUCCGCAUUUCAAAGGCUUCAUGGCAUCGUUGGAUAAACUCUCAGAACACACAACACACAGCGGCCGUGGAUCCAGCGCAGGACCAGGCUCUUGAAUGAAUCUAAAUGUCAAGUAGUUCAAAUCAUAUUUUCUUGAUACUUUGGGUUUUUUCUUCUCUCCGCCUCCAGUUCGAAUGUUCUUCCUAAUGGUGCCUGACGAGGACUGCGGAGGCUCUGAUUCAUUGAUCAGCUCACGGUUAAGUGAAGUACACUUAUUACUAUUGUUACUAUUAUCAUUACUUACAUUAUCUUCUGUAUUACUAAAGAAAUGCAAAAUAUCCCUUUGCUUUUUUUCACUCAUUGUGGGUUUAUUUCAUUUGAAUUUAAAACCAAACAAGAAAUGAUAGUUAUUAAAGUCAAAUUAUUUGAUGCCAUUAAAUAUAACAGUUAAAGAAAAUACACAGUUACAUACAAUACACAAAUAAAACAAAACAGUCAAAUGAGAACCGGUAACCGCAGGGCGGGUGGCUCCUGUAAUGGCUGAAACAAGACUGAAGCUGCUUGCACCUCUCUUGUUUCCCCCUCUCUAGUUACGAGAAAGGGGAAUUGUAAAGGUGAAAAUUGUCACUCAGUCAGAAUAUAAGAAUUUCUUAGAAUAUUUAUUUUGUUUUAUUAUUGUUUAUUAGGAUUACUAAAACAUAAAAAAUGCAAAUAAUGUCCAGAUUUUUCUACGGACCACCAAAAUGUUCUCACGGACCACUGGUGGUCUGCAGUGACCGCUGGUUUGGAGAGUUGAAGCAAAAUAUUAUAAAGUUUAUAUUUUUAGGUUCAAUAUAUCAAAAAUAUGCAAGAUUUUAAAACAUUGCAUAUAGUUCAUUGAGCAUUGGAAGGAGUUCACAAACCCCCCCUGUGCGGAUCACAAACCUGGAGUGCUGCCGCCAGAUGCCUCCCCUAGGGAACCAUUACUCUAGGCUGUCCAGUGUCACUGACAAGUUGCCUAUUGACAAGAUA